GACGAACGCUGGCGGCGUGCUUAACACAUGCAAGUCGAACGGAAAGGCCCUUCGGGGUACACGAGUGGCGAACGGGUGAGUAACACGUGGGUGAUCUGCCCUGCACUUCGGGAUAAGCCUGGGAAACUGGGUCUAAUACCGGAUAGGACCACUGCCUGCAGGGGAGGGGGUGGAAAGCUUUUGCGGUGUGGGAUGGGCCCGCGGCGUAUCAGCUUGUUGGCGGGGUAAUGGCGUACCAAGGCGACGACGGGUAGCCGGGCUGAGGGGGUGAGAGGUCACAGUGGGCCUGGGAUGCGGCCCGGCCUGGAACGGGAGGCAGGAGUGGGGAAGAGUGCACAGGGGGCGGAAGCCUGGUGCAGCGACGCAGCGUGAGGGAUGACGGCCUUCGGGUUGUGAACCUCUUUCAGCUAUGACGAAGCGCAAGUGACGGUAGUAGCAGAAGAAGGACCGGCCAACUACGUGCCAGCCGCCGCAGUAA
rnacentral:rRNA from 1 species